UACGUACCGUCCUAACGUUAUUCGGUAUCACUGGGCUUAAAGCGUUCGUAGGCGGCCUAGAAGGUGAGGUGUGAAAGCCCACGGCUCAACCGUGGAAUAGCGCUUCAAACUGCUAGGCUUGAGGAAGACAGGGGUGAUGGGAACUUAUGGUGGAGCGGUGAAAUGCGUUGAUAUCAUAGGGAACACCGGUGGCGAAGGCGCAUCACUGGGUCUGUUCUGACGCUGAGGAACGAAAGCGUGGGUAGCGAACGGG
rnacentral:rRNA from 1 species